UACAGAGGUCUCAAGCGUUGUUCGGAUUCAUUGGGCGUAAAGGGUGCGUAGGCGGCGCGGUAAGUCGGGUGUGAAAUCUCGGAGCUUAACUCCGAAACUGCAUUCGAUACUGCCGUGCUUGAGGACUGGAGAGGAGACUGGAAUUUACGGUGUAGCGGUGAAAUGCGUAGAUAUCGUAAGGAAGACCAGUGGCGAAAGGCGGGUCUCUGGACAGUUCCUGACGCUGAGGCACGAAGGUCAGGGGAGCAAACGGGG
rnacentral:rRNA from 1 species